rnacentral:rRNA from 1 species
AUGUCAACCUACGUGAGGCAAAAGAAACUACAGAGAACCGUCCGAUCGGUCACGUUAUCCGAGGCUGGCGUCCCGGCGUGGCCCGACGAGCCCAACGGCCUCGUUGACGCCGGAGACGAGCUCGGCCUCGAAGUUGCCGGACGACAUGGACGGCAGCCGCUCGUAGACCCUGGACCCGAGGUGCUGCAGCUUCUUCUGCUGCGUCUUCACGGUCCUGCUGAUGAUCUUGUAGUUCCAGCGCUGCUGCACGUAGACCGCGGCGGCGAGCGCGAGGGCGAGCAGCGGGAUGGCCACGUCGCCGAACGCCGAGUAGAAGUCGAGGCUGGUGUUGACGAACUCGUACUCCUCCGCGAAGUAGGGGUUGAUGGCCGGCGCCGCCCUGACGUAGUCGUAGAGGUGCGGCAGCAGCCGCACCGCCGUCACGCUCACGUAGUAGCUCUUCUUCAGCGGCCGGCAGCUGAUCCGCCACAGCACGUUGCCGACCACCUGCGGGAGGAGGAAGAAGUCCUGGGCCAGCCCGACGUACUCCUCCAGCGUCACCGCCCACUGCCGGAGCGCGUGCGACCUGCCGCGGGCGUCCAUGUACGAGUCCUCCUGCCGCAGCGGCCGCCCCAGCGCGCUCACGUACCGGGCGCCCAGGAUCACCAUGAACCCCAGCAUGUGCACGCCGAAGCUGUAGAGCAGCACCUUCCGGUCGCUGGGCACGCGGCCGGGCUCCAGCGGGGAGCGCGUGAGCAUCCGGAUCCGCGACCGCCACACCUUCUGCGCCAGCCGCAGCGUCAGGAGGAACGCGGCGAGGAUGAGGAUCUUCACGACGCAGUCGAUGAUCCAGUACAGCUGGCUCUUGUCCACCACGUACGACGGCGGCGCCACGCCGUCCACGGAGCCCCCCGCGGCGGCGAUCCGGGCGAACAGCGCCUCGGCGCCCGUGAUGAGCGGCAUGCUGUACCCCAGCGCCUGCACCCCCAGCAUCACCAGGGACACGUACGGCAUCACGUCCGUGUUCGCCUUGAUGUACAUCAGCUGGCUGAACUCGGCGGCGAUGGCCGUCGCCAGCGUCGCCACGCGGAGGAUCCCCUCCACGCUCCGCCGGGAUAG